UAUAAGCUGCGGGGAAUUGUCAAACAAACUUUAAUCCGCAGAUCUCCGAAUGGGGAAACCCAACCAAUUUUUUGGUUAUUAUAUACUGAAUACAUAGGUAUAUAAGGCAAACCUGGUGAACUGAAAUAUCUAAGUAGCCAGAGGAAAGGAAAUCAAUAUGAGACUCCGUUAGUAGUGACGAGCGAAUGCGGAAUAGGCCAGCGAUUUAUAAUUUAUAAUUAGAAUACUUUGGAAAGAGUAGCCAAAGAGGGUGAUAGCCCCGUAUAGGUAAAAAAAUUAUAAAUACUCGAGUAGAGCGGGACACGUGAAAUCCUGUUUGAAUGUGGGGGGACCAUCCUCCAAGCCUAAGUACUCCUUAACGACCGAUAGUGAACAAGUACCGUGAGGGAAAGGUGAAAAGAACCCCGGUGAGGGGAGUGAAAUAGAUCCUGAAAUCAAGUGCCUACAAACAGUUGGAGCUUUAUAUUAAAAAGGGCAACUUUUUUAAUAUUAUAGUGACAGCGUACCUUUUGCA
rnacentral:rRNA from 1 species